rnacentral:piRNA from 1 species
UAUAUUAAAGAUUUUGAUAUA